GACGGACGCUGGCGGCUUGCUUAACCCAGGGAAAUCGAAGUGGUUUUUGUUAAUUUCUUUGGGAAAUGGAAACGUCAUGAAAGUGGCGAACGGGUGAGUAGUACCUCACCUACCCUCCUUUCACAGGGGGAUAGUCGUUGGAUACGCCUUUAAUACCGCUGGACACCUCUGAACUCCGAGGUGUAGUUGGCCAUUAUUGAUGGGUGAUGGAGGGGUUUUGGUCUAAGUAGUUGUUG
rnacentral:rRNA from 1 species